GCAAUGAUACAUAAAUUUGAAUACCCUGCCGACCCGAGCACACACACCUUAACAGGCGUUGACAUUAAUAUCACUUUACCCCAAUCUGUCCAAUUUACCAAUAAAACUCUUGAAUCUCGGCUCAAAGUGCUUUAAACUGCAAUGGGCCAGGUAAAAGUGAGUGAGUCAGUAUUCGAGUAUGUAUCCUGAGCUGCCCGGGUGUUUGUUUGUGCGGCUGUGCCUUUUAACUUUUGCAUAAAAACAACGAACGCAGCCGGCAGCAGUUAGUGGAUGGAUGGAUGCAGGAUGCAGGCCAGAUCCAAGACAAGGAUGCAACUUUCAGCUGCUAAACGAAAAUAUAAAACACUUAACUCGACUGCAUGGGCGACAAUCCCCUCCAUUUGUCCCUGGGAGCCCGCAGAUCCUCCUCUGCCUGGCGACACAUUCAACUGCACUCUCGUCCUGGAGACUGGCAACAAUUUGAUGGCACUGAGAGCAGUGGGGGAAGCCCUUCCCCUUUGGGCCGGGCCAACAAACCCAGACACUGGCAUCCCCUGGCUGCGAAUUUAGGUCACUUUUUGGCAGCCAACAACAGUGAGCCGGAAGUGCAGAAAAUUUGGCCUAAAAAUAACAUUUAUUUGUGUGCAGCUCACUGACGUUUAGUUUUACGAACUCUAUUACGAUUACGAUUAUGGGGGCACUUU
ensembl:ncRNA lncRNA:CR46132 long non-coding RNA:CR46132